GACGAACGCUGGCGGCGUGCUUAACACAUGCAAGUCGAACGAUGAACCCGGAGCUUGCUCCGGCGGAUUAGUGGCGAACGGGUGAGUAACACGUGAGUAACCUGCCCUUGACUCUGGGAUAACUGCUAGAAAUGGUAGCUAAUACCGGAUACGACCCUCGGUGGCAUCACCAGGGGGUGGAAAGAAUUUCGGUCAAGGAUGGACUCGCGGCCUAUCAGCUAGUUGGUGAGGUAACAGCUCACCAAGGCGACGACGGGUAGCCGGCCUGAGAGGGUGACCGGCCACACUGGGACGGAGACACGGCCCAGACUCCUACGGGAGGCAGCAGGGGGGAAUAUUGCACAAUGGGCGCAAGCCUGAUGCAGCAACGCCGCGUGAGGGAUGACGGCCUUCGGGUUGUAAACCUCUUUUAGCAGGGAAGAAGCGAAAGUGACGGUACCUGCAGAAAAAGCACCGGCUAACUACGUGCCAGCCGCCGCCGUAA
rnacentral:rRNA from 1 species